GGGCCCGCACAAGCAGUGGAGCAUGUGGUUUAAUUCGAUGAUACGCGAAGAACCUUACCAGGACUUGACAUCCUUAGAAUCUUUAGAGAUAGAAGAGUGCCUUCGGGAACUAAGUGACAGGUGGUGCAUGGCUGUCGUCAGCUCGUGUCGUGAGAUGUUGGUUAAGUCCCGCAACGAGCGCAACCCCUAUUUUGUGUUGCCAGCAUUUCGGAUGGGAACUCACAAAAGACUGCCUGUGAUAAGCAGGAGGAAGGUGGGGACGACGUCAAGUCAUCAUGCCCCUUACGUCCUGGGCUACACACAUGCUACAAUGGGCGGUACAAUGAGCAGCUAAGCCGCGAGGCC
rnacentral:rRNA from 1 species